GACGAACGCUGGCGGCGUGCUUAACACAUGCAAGUCGAACGGAAAGGCCCUGCUUUUGUGGGGUGCUCGAGUGGCGAACGGGUGAGUAACACGUGAGUAACCUGCCCUCGACUUUGGGAUAACUUCAGGAAACUGGGGCUAAUACCGGAUAGGAGCUCCUGCUGCAUGGUGGGGGUUGGAAAGUUUCGGCGGUUGGGGAUGGACUCGCGGCUUAUCAGCUUGUUGGUGGGGUAGUGGCUUACCAAGGCUUUGACGGGUAGCCGGCCUGAGAGGGUGACCGGCCACAUUGGGACUGAGAUACGGCCCAGACUCCUACGGGAGGCAGCAGUGGGGAAUAUUGCACAAUGGGCGGAAGCCUGAUGCAGCAACGCCGCGUGCGGGAUGACGGCCUUCGGGUGGUAAACCGCUUUCGCCUGUGACGAAGCGUGAGUGACGGUAAUGGGUAAAGAAGCACCGGCUAACUACGUG
rnacentral:rRNA from 1 species